GAUGAACGCUAGCGGCAGGCUUAACACAUGCAAGUCGAGGGGUAACAGGGAUUGCUUGCAAUCCGCUGACGACCGGCGCACGGGUGCGUAACGCGUAUAGAACCUACCUUUUACUGAGGGAUAGCCUUUAGAAAUGAAGAUUAAUACCUCAUGGCAUCAUUGAUUGGCAUCGAUUAAUGAUUAAAGAUUUAUUGGUAAAAGAUGGCUAUGCGUCCUAUUAGUUAGAUGGUGAGGUAACGGCUCACCAUGGCAGCGAUAGGUAGGGGUCCUGAGAGGGAGACCCCCCACACUGGUACUGAGACACGGACCAGACUCCUACGGGAGGCAGCAGUGAGGAAUAUUGGGCAAUGGAGGCAACUCUGACCCAGCCAUGCCGCGUGCAGGAAGACGGCCCUAUGGGUUGUAAACUGCUUUUAUACGGGAAGAAACACUCCUACGUGUAGGGGCUUGACGGUACCGUAAGAAUAAGCACCGGCUAACUCCG
rnacentral:rRNA from 1 species